GACGAAGGGGGCUAGCGUUGUUCGGAAUUACUGGGCGUAAAGCGCGUGUAGGCGGUUGCCCAAGUCGGGUGUGAAAGCCUUGAGCUCAACUCAAGAAAUGCAUUCAGGACUGGAUGGCUAGAGGACCGGAGAGGAUAGUGGAAUUCCCAGUGUAGUGGUGAAAUACGUAGAGAUUGGGAAGAACACCAGUGGCGAAGGCGGCUAUCUGGACGGUUUCUGACACUAAGACUCGAAAGCGUGGGGAGCAAACAGG
rnacentral:rRNA from 1 species